AUAAAGCGCAUUUGUCGUUGCA
rnacentral:miRNA from 1 species